ACCCCCAACUCUACCCGUCCCCAAUGUUGUCCCGGUCAUAAUGGUGACCACCAUCAUUCUGAGUCCCACAUCUCCUAGGGCGAGGCAGUUCUAAUGAUGGCAGGUGGACGAUGGCAGAGAUGGCAGAGACUCAGGGUCACUUCUGACAAGGUUGCUAAAAAGGGUAGCCUGGUACUGAGAGGCUAGGACAGUCAAGUCACACAAGGAGGGCCCAGGAAGGUCUCUCUAGAGGCCCCUCCAUUUGGGACUCCAAAAGAAAAAAGUGCCUUCUGGUGGUAGCAGCAGCUAAGGAUGGUGCUGGGGCCCUCUGGAAAGACACCCACUGGGGGAUCAUCCUGGAACUGAUGCCAGCAGAGCAGAGUUGCAAACUGAGUUGCAAGCCCUUCCUGACCCGUGGUAGAGCAGCAGCAUCCUGUAGGCAUCCUGAAUCUAGUUCAUCACUACAGAGAGGCUCAUGACCGUUCUUGCCAGGCAUCAGGAGCACAGCGCUCCACAAAGCUGCAGCAGAGCAAAGAGACCUGAGAGAGAUCCAUGGAAAGGCUCCUGUCCCCACAAGGGUUCUGAGUCAAGGCAACACUCACUACGGACUCUCCUUCAGAAUGUGGUGAGGACAGACAGGGACAGGGAGGUUACAGAGCUGGCUGUGGGUGCUCGGUCACUGCUUGAGGACAGUGGUCUGAAGGGUUCUGUCUGGAGAGGUCCACGCCAGGUCUGUGCAGUCCGAGGGUUUCGGAAAGGAGGGACCUCCUAGCUUCCCAGCCAGACUCCUUGUGUGGCUUAGGCUGCCCUCUGCUGGAAGUUCUGGGAAAUGCAAGAACGCUGAAGCUGGGCCGGCUUCUGGUGAUUUGCUUAGGUGACUCAGGGGCCAGGGAGUCGGAUACUCCUGAGCUGGAGAACUGAGUUAAGUCCAGCCUCAGAGGACCAUGCGGAGGCCAGGCACCCAGGGCGGGGCAGGGCAGGACAGGACAGGAUAGGACGAGAGUUGCCUACCUACCACUGAAGUGGAGCCGGACUGCUACAGAAAAAUAAAAUAAUAAAAUAAAAUAAAAUGAAAUAUAAAAGUCUACAAA
rnacentral:sRNA from 1 species